GCAACAUCCACCUCCAUCUCCUCAGAUCCGUUUGGGGGCUCCCGGCCCCCUCUCCCGGACUCAGCUGGAGAAACUCCAGCCAGGGACCCCAGAUCUUACAGACUUUCUGGCCAGCAGGCACUCACUCCCAAGCCAGCAGCUCUCUUUCCACCUUCCUUGCAUCCCACCUUGGGGAGACGUCUGGUCUGGGGCCAGCCCGUUGUAGAAUGUCUGGUGGCCAGGGCAUGAACUGUUGGUCCUUAUAGAGCCAUGCAGGCUGAGCAUCCUGAGCCUGGUCCCCAUGCCUGUUUCCCAGGGCCAGGACUAUUCAGUGAGUAGCCUUCACAUGGAAACAGCCCAGACUGGAGGAACCAUGAGGGGCCUUGGCUUAUCCUACACUGUUGUCUAUCUGUCCCUCCAGGAUUGGGGGCAGGAGGACCAUUCAUUCCUUGGCAUUAAUCCCUCGGAGGGAACAAUAAAGCUUUUUUUUUCCCC
rnacentral:lncRNA from 1 species